UAACUCAAGCCAAUGUGGCAAUCCACAAU
rnacentral:piRNA from 1 species